CCUGGCGGCAGUAGCGCGGUGGUCCCACCUGACCCCAUGCCGAACUCAGAAGUGAAACGCCGUAGCGCCGAUGGUAGUGUGGGGUUUCCCCAUGCGAGAGUAGGGAACUGCCAG
rnacentral:rRNA from 1 species